rnacentral:rRNA from 1 species
UACGGUGAAUACGUUCCCGGGCCUUGUACACACCGCCCGUCACACCAUGGGAGUGGGUUGCAAAAGAAGUAGGUAGCUUAACCUUCGGGAGGGCGCUUACCACUUUGUGAUUCAUGACUGGGGUGAAGUCGUAACAAGGUAACCGUAGGGGAACCNUGCGGUUGGAUCACCUCCUUACCUUAAAGAA